AAUAGAUACCCGGGUAGUCCACGCCGUAAACGAUGGAUGCUAGCUGUUAUGCGUAUCGACCCGUGUAGUAGCGAAGCUAACGCGUUAAGCACCCCGCCUGGGGAGUACGAACGCAAGUUUAAAACCCAAAGGAAUUGACGGGGACCCGCACAAGCGGUGGAGCGUGUUCUUUAAUUCGAGGCUAAGCGAAGAACCUUACCAGGGCUUGACAUCCUUGGAAUUUCUCCGAAAGGAGAGAGUACUUUAUUGGACCAAGUGACAGGUGCUGCAUGGCCGUCGUCAGCUCGUGUCGUGAGAUGUUUGGUUAAGUCCAUUAACGAGCGUAACCCUUAUGAAUAGUUGUAUUUUUCUAUUCAGACUGCCCCGGUAACGGGGAGGAAGGGGGGGAUGAUGUCAGGUCAGUAUUGCCCUUACGCCCUGGGGCUAGAAACGCGCUACAAUGGCCGGUACAAUGCGCUGCCAACCCGCGAGGGGGAGCAAAUCGCAUCAAAGCCGGUCCCAGUUCGGAUAAGAGGCUGAAACUCGCCUCUUUGAAGCCGGAAUCGCUAGUAAUCGUAGGUCAGAA
rnacentral:rRNA from 1 species